CUCACCCCAUUUCAAUUUCAUUCCAUUACUUUUUUAUGCUUUCUGGUUUGAUUUUCUGUCCGAUCUUGAGUUGGGUUUUUGAGCUUUCCUUGCAUAAAGGUCAUUGAAGAUUUUAGUUGCUGAUUUGCUUUGGGUUUUGUAACUUUGUUGGUGAAAGAAGAAAAAGGUCCAGUUACUAUUGUCAUCAUGGAUUCUCCUCAGUCAGUCAUGUCACCCUUCAAGAGUUGUGCCAUUUUCACAGAACCCGAGAAGCAGAACACUGAGCUUUUCUUGAAGAACUCGAGCGGGGGGAUCUCUGCAAGAAGAGAGGACUUGAUUGGCCUAAUAGAUGUGUAUAUACAUCAGGCUAGGGACAUCCACAACAUCUGUAUAUACCAGAAGCAGGAUGUUUAUGCUAAGCUUUGCCUGACGAGUGAUCCCGACAAUGCUCUCUCCACCAAAAUCAUCAACGGGGGUGGGAAGAACCCGGUUUUCAAUGAGAAUCUGAGGCUGAAUGUUCGUACGAUGGAGUGUUGUGUGAAAUGCGAGAUAUGGAUGAUGAGCAGGGUGAGGAAUUACAUGGAAGAUCAACUGCUUGGCUUUGCUUUAGUCCCUCUUUCAGAAGUCCUCCUGGGAAAUGGGAAGUUAGAAAAGGAGUUUUCUUUGUCAUCCACUGAUCUCUUCCACUCUCCUGCAGGGUUUGUUCAUCUCUCCCUAUCUUACAAUGGAACUUUACCAGAACUCAUCUCCAUUUCUGCAGAAAAAACUGUGCAAAAUGCAGAAGUAAUGCUCGAGUCCCUUGCCAACGAGUUCGAGAAAAUCGAGUUCCCAGACCCUAAAAUAAUGAACGAAAAUGAUGUGAUGGUGUCUGAGUAUUUUGGCAUCCAAGGCUCCACCUUGGAAUCCCAGACCUCGGAUAGCUUAGUAUCAUCUUCUGACAACGAAAACCAGCCCAGCCCGGAUGUCGGGGAGAGUUUUCCAUCUGGAAACAUGGAUUCCCCUCCCAGCAGUGUAUGUGUAUCAACCAACGAGUCACAUCCUGCAAGCUCCCAGUCUUCUGAGACGCCCGGGGCUUCAAAAACAGCACCCGAAGAGUACAUUUCUCCUUCGAAAGAAUGCGCCAAGGAGAAGAGUUUAGAUGACAGAGAUGCAGAAGAAAGUGUAUUUCCAAAGGCUGCAGUGAUGGCUGUGAACAUUGAGGCUGAGCAGAAGGUGGUGCAGCAGGAUAUAAUCGACAUGUACAUGAAGAGCAUGCAGCAGUUCACCGAGUCAUUGGCGAAGAUGAAGCUCCCGUUGGAGCUCGAGAGCACGACAACCAGUUCUGGGAAUUCUAGCUCGGAUCAGAAAUCGCAAACCCCCAAGAGCUCGGGCUCUCGGGUGUUCUAUGGGAGCAGAGCUUUCUUCUGAUGAUUCUCUGAGUGACUUCUAAUGGACUAAUGGUUAGGGUGAGAGUGAUGGUGUUGGUAACAUGGAAGAACUUCAAUUCUAUCUCUUGUGGUGUUAUAUAUUUAUUGUUAUAUAUUGUAUGUUCAUUUAAUCCAUGAAAACUAUGUGACAUGUAUGUUUACAUUUACAGCCUUUGUUUUAUUGCACUUGCCCAUUUGUGUCCA